rnacentral:rRNA from 1 species
GACGUAGGGCGCGGAGCGUUGUCCGGAUUUAUUGGGCGUAAAGAGCUACGUAGGCGGCUUGUCGCGUCGACUGUGAAAUCCCGCGGCUCAACUGCGGGUCUGCAGUCGAUACGGGCAGGCUAGAGUUCGGUAGGGGAGACUGGAAUUCCUGGUGUAGCGGUGAAAUGCGCAAAUAUCAGGAGGAACACCGAUGGCGAAGGCAGGUCUCUGGGCCGAUACUGACGCUGAGGAGCGAAAGCGUGGGGAGCGAACAGG